rnacentral:tRNA from 1 species
GGGGUUGUGGCUCAGUGGCAGAGCGCUUGCCUAGCAUGCAUGAGGCACUGGGUUGGAUCCUCAGCACUGCA